rnacentral:misc_RNA from 1 species
AACGCACAUUACGCCCGCGAAUAUUCUCGCGGGCAUGCCUAUUCGAGCGUCAUUUCAACCAUCAAGCCCCCGGCUUGUGUUGGGGACCUGCGGCUGCCCGCAGGCCCUGAAAUCCAGUGGCGGGCUCGCUGUCGCACCGAGCGUAGUAGCAUACUUCUCGCUCCGGGAGCGCGGCGGGCGCCUGCCGUAAAACCCCCUACAUACCAAAGGUUGACCUCGGAUCAGGUAGGAAUACCCGCUGAACUUAA